AUGAGUCAUAGCUACCUACUAGUCUGGUUCACAAGUGUGUUUGGUAGUGUAACCUGGUUAGCAAGCACUAGAUGUUUUUCCCACUUUUCAUUCCUAUUCCUUUCCCAUGUAACAUGUUUGGGUAUCGAAGACACCGCAUAUAUCGGGAGUCAUCGCCAGACCAGUCUAUUGUUAUGUUGGGGACCCUUCCCAAUGAUUUCCUUCGAAUCACCCCAACCCAAGCUCAGUCGCAGGAAGAAGCUGACCGAGCAA